GGUAGCAUAAUCACUUGUUCUUUAAAUGAGGACUAGGUAUCAACGGCAUCACGAGGAUCCUACUGUCUCCCCCCUCUAAUCAGUGAAACUGAUCUCCCCGUGAAGAAGCGGGGAUAUACAUAUAAGACGAGAAGACCCCAUGGAGCUUUAAACCUGACAGCACCCGCUCAUUCUAUACCCCAUUAUUUGCCCGACCCCUGUCUGCUCAGUUUUAGGUUGGGGUGACCACGGAGUAUAAAAUAACCUCCAUGAAGAAGGGGAUAUUUCCCUUAUUAGAGAACCACACUUCCAAGAACUAAUAAAUUAAUUUUCAAUGACCCGAUACCUGAUAAUCGAUCAACGAACCAAGUUACCCUGGGGAUAACAGCGCAAUCCAC
rnacentral:rRNA from 1 species